ACAAAUAUUUAUUAAGCAUCUACUGCAUUCCAGGUACAUAUCUGUGUACUGCAGAUGCAACAGAGAACAAAAUAAGCAAAACUUUCAGAUCUCCUGGAGCUUGUAGUCUAACAGCAUCUUCAGCACAGUUUUCAGAUGAUGAGUCAUUUGCGAACGACAGAUUUUCAUUAUAGGAGUCAUCUUUGGAGCAGGAUGUGUUGGACUAGACUCAGGGGUUGCAAAUUGAAAUACUUCUCAAGAUUCAUCAGCCAAUGUAACUGGGUGAAUCGGGCAUAUGUAAGAAAACAGGGACUGGAGGGUACUGUCUCACUGAACUCUACAGGGAUAAGCCAAGAUCAGUGCCAUUUGCUUGUUAUCCUGCCUAAAUGUGGUUUCAGUAUUAACAAAUUGCCUUAAAAGAAGCCAGAAAUCUGGAUUAUUAUGGACACUCUGAUAUUUAAUUUUUUUUCACGUUUAGAGCAACAAAAUAGGCCUUUGAACCGGACCCAGUUCAAGUUGUCUAGUUUGUAACUCCUUAUUCACAAAGAUACCU